rnacentral:rRNA from 1 species
GACGAACGCUGGCGGCGUGCUUAACACAUGCAAGUCGAACGGGCCUGCCUGGCUUUGGUUGGGUGGGUGAGUGGCGAACGGGUGAGUAACACGUGAGUAACCUGCCCUCUUCUCUUGGAUAACUGCUUGAAAGGGCGGCUAAUACGGGAUGUUCUGGCUGCCUCGCAUGGGGUGGUUUGGAAAGAUUCGGCCUGGUUUUGGUUGUUUUGGUGGGGGAUGGGCUCGCGGCUUAUCAGCUUGUUGGUGGGGUGAUGGCCUACCAAGGCGGUGACGGGUAGCCGGCCUGAGAGGGUGGACGGUCACACUGGGACUGAGACACGGCCCAGACUCCUCGGGAGGCAGCAGUGGGGGAUUUUGCACAAUGGGCGCAAGCCUGAUGCAGCGACGCCGCGUGAGGGAUGGAGGCCUUCGGGUUGUGAACCUCUGUCGCCGGUGAUGUAGG